rnacentral:rRNA from 1 species
GACACGACUCUCGGCAACGGAUAUCUCGGCUCUCGCAUCGAUGAAGAACGUAGCGAAAUGCGAUACCUGGUGUGAAUUGCAGAAUCCCGCGAACCAUCGAGUCUUUGAACGCAAGUUGCGCCCGAGGCCACCCGGCCGAGGGCAUGCCUGCCUGGGCGUCACGC